rnacentral:lncRNA from 1 species
GUAGCCACUCUUUUUCCCUUUCCUUUACUUUCUUAAUAAACUUGCUUUCUCACUUUACUCUACGGACUUGCUUUGAUUUCUUUCUUGUGUGAGAUCUGAGAACCCUCUCUUGGGGUCUGGAUCCGGACUCCUUUCUGGUAACAUCUUCCUGGCCACCAUGAAGCGACUAUACUGAAGAGACUUCUGACCCAAAGAAAAAGACUGCAGCACCAAUUGGCCAACUCUGGAUAUGUGGUGGGGCGCUCAACAAACACUCAAGUAACCCAUCAGGCCCAGUUUUUGGAGAAGCCUGGGACUCACCUUGAGGGAAAGGAUGUCCUCUGCGCGGAUGACGAACUCGUCCUGCUCACGGAAAAUGCCCUCUCCGCCACUCUCGUCAGCCUUCUAGUCCGUCUCUCCACACACGGCCGCCGUCUCCUGCUUCUUGGCCAGGUGCAGAGGCCAGGGGUACCUUAGGAUGAAGCACAACUCCAGCCUGGGCAACACAGCAAAAAACUCCAUCUCAAAAAGAAGAAAGAGAGAAAGAGAAAAAAAGAAAGAAAAGAGAAAGACAGUGGUUAGAAAGAAAAGAGAAAGACAGUGGGUCAGAGGUCCCCCUCAGUAACAUCCCUCUUGGUUAGAAAUGGAUUUGGCACUAUGAAAUGUUAACUGCUAUUCUCUGGAUUAAUCUGCCUUGCACUGUUUGCUGAUGGCUACAGGUGACUGGAUUAGGCAUGUACAGGAUCUUGGAACAUGGGGAACUUUUUUCUCCCCAGAGGGGGCAACUUGAGAGCUGAUGGGACUGCUGGAAAAGAUCCCUUUGUGACUGACAAGUACCUGCCUGAACUUUUGAUUCAGUGUUGCUGCAAUGGGUGGGUAUUCCUCUGGUCUCCCUGAGCUCCCCGCUUCCCCACCCUGCCUCAGACCAGGCUUCUCUCUCUUACUCUCUCUUUCUCUCCUUUUCUUUUCCUAUCGUUUCUGUUACUUGAGACUACCUGCUCUUCCAUCUUGCCCAGAGACCACAUGUUGAAAUUCCGGGUCGGAGGUCACUCCACCCCACUUUGAAUGGAUUAAAGAUGACAAGGCCCAACCGGGGGCAAGUUUGAGCCUUGCCAGUUAGAUAUUGGGUGCUAAGCAGAGCGGCUAAUGUCUAUGUUUUGUCACACGUAUUUUGCUCUGGCUGGAAUGGAAAAUGUUCAUUUGGUUACCCCAUGCAACCCACUGGGCAGCAUCUUACAAAAUUGAGAUUUUUUUUUUUUUAAUUUUGUGUUGCAGCUUGGCCUCCAGGGCUAUGAUGCAGCAAGUAGAUUCGCUAGGGCCACUCAGGGAAAGGGAACCCAGAAACCUGGCAUGCCAGCAAAAGGGUAAGAAUUUCUUACCAGUCAGACUUCUGGCCUCUCUCUGUGCGCGCCGACUGUAGGAAUGGUAAAAAUCACUGCCUCCUCUGCAAAGUUUCAAUUAAUGAAACAAAAGCCUUCAUGUGGCUAGUAUUAAGCUGUAGCAAAUCUGGUGUAAUUUGUGCUAUGAAUUUGUCUUUCUGUAUUUUUCUGUCAUAAAGAGAGGUACCUUAGGAUAGAAUAUGGGCUUAGGACCCGGUAAGCUUGCUGUUCAAGCCAGUCCGGCACACUGGUCAGUUACAAACUUUGCGGCAGGUCCCUGAAACAAACAAAAAACUGACUGAAGUUUUCCCCUUGUCUUAUGCCCUUGGAAGCUUGACCUUGUAACCAUAUGGUGGUAUACCUUCUUAGUCUCCAGCAUCCAGAGGACAGGAAUUUUGAGGUUCACGUCAUAGCCCUAAAAAUUGUCUUGAGCAGUUAAAAGCCUUUGCAAGCUCAAAAUUGGCUGCCUCUAGGGUCCUUCUAAGAAAAGAAAUGGAAACUGCCCAAUGCUGAAGCUUAGUAGCUAAGGUUUUGUCUUUUCACAAUGGCAGCCCACAUUCAGGGUUCAAUUCCCAGCUCAGGGAAUUAGUCCUUUCUAGUUUGAUAUCUACGUGAGCUUUGCCAUUUGUUGAUUCUCUGCCCCUCCUUGAACAACAUCUGGCUUUCCUUUUUGAAUUUUCCCUUCUCUAAGCUGCCUUUGUAGAUUCUAAAUCUUGUAAAAACUGCUUACCACCUGUUUGAAAAUACUUCGUACACCUGUGGUUAAGUCACAACCUUAGUUAAGGCUUAUUGGUUUCACCUGGGAGAUUACCUUUGGUAAAGUUUAAAGGCCAUAAAUAUUGGCUGUUUGUCCCGGCUAGAGUCUGGUAAUAAGAGAUUUUGUUAAAAGUUAGCUUAAUUAAAAGCAGAUAUCCAAGCUAUACGUAUAUUUAAAAGGUCUUUAUGUUUUUUUCUCUUCUUGGAUCUUAUGAAGAAAAAAGUAUUUUUUUUUACCAGGGGAAAACAAGACAAGGGGAAAAAAAAGGUAUUUUUUUUUUCACAGUCAACUGAAUUGUUUCUCUGUUUUGCCUUCUUGCCACUCUUGAUGCACAUGUGAGAGGACCUAAGAUAAUUUCUAAUAGCCUUGGACUCCUUGAGAAAAACAGAGGAGGUGCCACAGACCCCGUUUUAGGGAAAACAUCUGUUUUCCUCAUUAAGACCCAGGGAUUGGAAGCAGAUAGAUCUCUCUCAAAAGCUAAGGCUCUGUUCUGUUUUGCAUUGCGUUAUUUGACAUUUUUUACUUUUUAGAGUAUCAGAAAUUACUUCACAUUAUGAGUGAGCUUUGGUGUGUAAUAACUAGGUAGCAAAUAUACUUUUGGGCAUGGCCAGUGGCAGUUAUGGCGGGAUACUUGGCUCUCUGCACGUUUGGAUCAGAGAGGCGUGCUCUCAGCCACCUGGAAGGUAUGGAAACAUCCCCAUCCCCCACCCCACCACUGAGAUAAGGCUUCCGUGGGGGAUAGGCUGAUCACAGAAUGGGCUGAUUGACUCUGGGUUGUCUUGCAAUGAAACUCACAGUAAGAUCAUUCAUUGUCUUGUUCUGUAGUAUUUCUUUUUUGGGAAUUGAGGAUCCGGUAUAAAAAUAGGACCCUGAAUUUUGGGGGAUCUGUUUUGCUUUCCAUCUGUAUCUGCUUAUUAAGCCCUAGAAACGGCAUGUUUUCCUAACCCUGUUCCUCAAAGGACCCCACCCUGAAGCCAGUAAUCCAAUUAAGAAACUUAAAAACUGCCAAAUGAAAAAUCGUAACAACUACUGGAUCUUCUGCUGUCUGUAUAUUUAUAUGUGUUGUGUGUGUGACAUUUAUAUAUGAAGGAGCUCUGAUUAAUUGGCUUAAAAAUAAGCGCUUAAAUAUUUUGUCAGGAAAAUAAAAACUAAUGCCUUUUAGUUCACGUGACUUUAGUAAGCUUUGGAAGGACAGUUUAAAAAAUUAUUGGUAAAAUAAAGACAUUUGGUCUAAAUUAGGUCAGAUAAUUAGGUUUGCUAAACGCUUUAAGAUCAUGAACUGCUUCUUUGACUUUUGAAAAGUCAAAGAAGAGCUAUUCUUUGAGCUAUUAGAUUCUAGGUAAGGCCUGUGGACAUGCGGAGUUAGGGAUGCCCCCUCACUAUGAUGGAAGGAUAACUUAUCUGCAUUUUUGUCUCGUAUCUUAGGCUCCACACCUGCUACAAAAUUAAAAAUCACUCACUUAUCAGGUUUUUCAGCAACAACAAAAGUUUCUAAGAGUUAACAGUGUAACAUGCAAUGGAGACUACUACAGAAACGUUUUACAUGCAAGGUGUGUCAGGAAAGUGAAAUGUGUUUUUGGUAAAAGAUUAUAAGAAGGCAUGGAAAUGUGGGAGUUUUUUGGCUACACUAGUUUAGAGGGUUAAAGGUUUUAACUAAGAUAGCAUAAAGCUGAAGGUUUGAGCAAGUUGUGAUAGGUUUGUGAAAGAUUAAUCUGGUAAAAGAAAUUUUAUAUGUGAACAUAUUGGCUAAAGCUAAAGUGACAUUAUUCAGUUUUUCUGUAAAUUGAACAUUGGAAUAAAAGCACAAAAGGAUUUCCUUGGAGCACUGAUCUGCUCUUUAACAAAAAUUGUAAAGGGUCAUAAGAUUUAUAAGAAUCUUACCUUAGGGUCAAACAUUAAAAUUGAAGAGAUUUGUCUAAGGUUCUACUAAGAAUUGGGUUUGAUAUUAAUAGUACACUAAUGCAAAGGUGAAAUUUGGCUUUCUCUUGAACAAGAUUUUCCAUGAAUAAAGUUUUUUGCCUUUUUAAAAUUUUUGAGUUAUUUUGGCUAGAUGACUUAUGGUGGCCUAUGAUUCUCUUCUAUAAUAUCAAGUGUUUUAAACCUUUGAUAGUAACAAACUUUCCAAAACCAAAUUAUAAAUUAUGUCUUUUUCUGACCUAAUUAAUCUUAUAGCUAUUAGGUCCCCUAAAGUCCAAAAAUGACAUAUUUGGCUUAUUUGGUAUAAAAAUCAUACAGGAAGCAUUGUCAAAUAUGAAAUGGUGUUUGGCUUUCUUUGGGCUGUAUUUGUAUAAAUAUGUUAUUAGUAUAUGUUCCAAAAUUACUGGAAAGUCCUGUAAUUCUGAUAUGGCUUAGUGUAUGUAAUUAAUAAUUAUAAUUGUUGUGUAAAAUUGUAUGCCACAGAAGUAACCAAAAUUGUCAAAUGUGGCUUUAGUAGUGGCUGUCCUAAGACUUUUUGUCACCCACAAUUAUUGUCUUGUUUUGAUUCUCUUCAAAAGGUGGUUUAUAAUCAGCUAUAGGACUUUGACAGGUGCUCUUGAAUGCAGGUUUCUGAUACCUUUGGAGAUUGUGACAUUAGAAUCGAGGAAAAAACUUUCAGGACUCUCAUGGAGAGCUGAAAUGUUUAUGAAUAUCAAGCAGAACAGGUGUUAACUGCAUAGACUGAACUAAUAGAAGACUAAAAUAACCCUUCUAUGACUUUUUACUUAAAACAUUGCUGAUCUUUGUUUUUCAGAGCCAAGAAAACUUUUAUUUGUAACUUUAAAAAAUAAAAAUAAGAUGCAGUCUCUCUCUGUUGCCCAGGCUGGAGUGCAGUCGUGUGACCUGAGCUCA